rnacentral:rRNA from 1 species
UACGGAGGGUGCGAGCGUUGUCCGGAAUCACUGGGCGUAAAGGGCGCGUAGGCGGCCUGAUAAGUAGGGGGGUGAAAAUCCUGCGGCUUAACCGCAGGGCUGCCUUCUAAACUGUCGGGCUAGAGCACGGUAGAGGCAGAUGGAAUUCCCGGUGUAGCGGUGGAAUGCGUAGAGAUCGGGAAGAACAUCAGUGGCGAAGGCGGUCGUGCUGGGCCGU